AUUGAACGCUGGCGGCAUGCCUAACACAUGCAAGUCGAACGGGGUAGGGGCAACUCUACUUCAGUGGCGGACGGGUGAGGAAUGCGUCGGAAUCUACCCUAUGGUGGGGGAUAACACAGGGAAACUUGUGCUAAUACCGCAUGAUGUCGAGAGACCAAAGCAGGGGACCGCAAGGCCUUGCGCGAUAGGAUGAGCCGACGCCCGAUUAGCUAGUUGGUAGGGUAAAGGCCUACCAAGGCGACGAUCGGUAGCUGGUCUGAGAGGAUGAUCAGCCACACUGGGACUGAGACACGGCCCAGACUCCUACGGGAGGCAGCAGUGGGGAAUAUUGGACAAUGGGCGCAAGCCUGAUCCAGCAAUGCCGCGUGUGUGAAGAAGGCCUGCGGGUUGUAAAGCACUUUUGUUCGGGAAGAAAACGGAUCGGUUAAUACCCGGUUCGGAUGACGGUACCGAAAGAAUAAGCACCGGCUAACUUCGUGCCAGCAGCCGCGGUAAGG
rnacentral:rRNA from 1 species